AGUAAUGUAUGGGGAUCUGCCUGAUGGCGGGGGAUAACUACUGGAAACGGUAGCUAAUACCGCAUAAUGUCUGCGGACCAAAGCGGGGGACCUCCGGGCCUCGCGCCAUCAGAUGAACCCAUAUGGGAUUAGCUUGUAGGUGAGGUAACGGCUUACCUAGGCGACGAUCCCUAGCUGGUCUGAGAGGAUGAUCAGCCACACUGGGACUGAGACACGGCCCAG
rnacentral:rRNA from 1 species